rnacentral:tRNA from 1 species
AUCUAAAUAGCUUAUUAGAGUAGGACAUUGAAGAUGUCCAGGAGAUUAUUAUAUCUUUAGAUA